rnacentral:misc_RNA from 1 species
AUGAAUUAUGUCGCAAGACAAUUCUUUCAAACACUUGUGAAAUAUAUAUUUUGCUUUGGCUUUACGGCCAACAUUAAACACAUCAAGAAUUAAUUGUCUGAAACUGAAUAUAAAUUAUUCA